ACACACCUUCAUCGUGAUUUGAGGGUUGGAUCUUCGUCAGCGUGAACCAGGCAGCUACAAAGGAUAUAAUCAAGUUCAGGUUCUCUCCUCUCAUCUUCGAGUUCAUGGGUUACCCCUAGUAGAUGAUUAACCAGACAGCUACAAAGGAUAUAAUCAAGUUCAGAUCAAUGGACAGUGAAGAUGCAUAUUCUCGUGGUGGGGGUGGUGGGCAAACUUCAGCAGAUACAUCACAAUCUAAAAGUCUGGUAAGUCUAUUGACUUCAAUCAGCUUGAACAUCUGAAUCUACUUGUAGUCAGCGAUCAUUGGUCGAAGUUGCUUGUCAUGUUACUCAAAUAUUCAUUCUAAGAAGAGUGUGGAGCAUCGUCGUAUACAAGAGUGUGGAGCAUCGUCGUAUACUCUGAUAUACUUCCUGUUUAAUUUGUGUAUGUUUGAAAGUUAGAAUCUAAUGAGCAUUGUUGUCAUUGUGGGUUUGUUUAUGUUUGUGUUUUGUGUGAGUGAAUAAAGAAAAAAGCACAAGGCAUAUUUGAUGUA